rnacentral:rRNA from 1 species
UCUGGCUCAGGUAUGAACGCUGGCGGCGUGCUUAACACAUGCAAGUCGAACGGAACUUAUGUGAAACUUUCGUCGAUCAUAAGUUAGUGGCGGACGGGUGAGUAACGCGUGGGUAACCUACCUCACGACAGGGGGGAUAACAGUUGGAAACGACGUGCUAAAACCGCAUAACAUGGCGAUACCGCAUGACAUUGACCCAUCAAAAUAUUUUAUAGGUGUGAAGAUGGGCCCGCGUCUGAUUAGCUAGUUGGUGAGGUAAUGGCCCACCAAGGGCGACGAUCAGUAGCCGGCUUGAGAGAGUGAACGGCCACAUUGGGACUGAGACACGGCCCAAACUCCUACGGGAGGCAGCAGUGGGGGAUAUUGGACAAUGGGGGAAACCCUGAUCCGAGCGACGCCGCGUGAAGUGAAGAAGUAUUUCGGUAUGUAAAGCUCUAUCAGCAGGGAAGAAAAAGCGCAAGCAUUGACUGUACCUGACUAAGAAGCCCCGGCUAACUACGUGCCAGCAGCCGC